UAGGGAAUCUUCCACAAUGGGCGAAAGCCUGAUGGAGCAACGCCGCGUGAGUGAGGAAGGCUUUCGGGUCGUAAGGCUCUGUUGCCAGGGAAGAAUAAGGAUCAUUUAACUGAUGAUCCGAUGACGGUACCUGAGAAGAAAGCCCCGGCUAACUACGUGCCAGCAGCCGCGGUAAUACGUAGGGGGCAAGCGUUGUCCGGAAUUAUUGGGCGUAAAGCGCGCGCAGGCGGCUCUUUAAGUCUGGUGUUUAAGUGCGGGGCUCAACCCCGUGACGCACUGGAAACUGGGGAGCUUGAGUGCAGAAGAGGAGAGCGGAAUUCCACGUGUAGCGGUGAAAUGCGUAGAGAUGUGGAGGAACACCAGUGGCGAAGGCGGCUCUCUGGACUGUAACUGACGCUGAGGCGCGAAAGCGUGGGGAGCAAACAGGAUUAGAUACCCUGGUAGUCCACGCCGUAAACGAUGAGUGCUAGGUGUUGGGGGUAUCAUGCCCUCGGUGCCGAAGUUAACACAUUAAGCACUCCGCCUGGGGAGUACGG
rnacentral:rRNA from 1 species